UAAGUACUUUUAUUUUCGAGUCAGUUUUCUUGUCUCUUUUGAACAUUCGCAUAGUCUGACAAAGUGUAUUUAAAAAAGUCUUGUCUAAUUCCCCUUGACUGUUGUGUCGCUAAUGUAUUUUCUGUUGGUACUUCCUAGAUUGACAUCAAAUUCUUUUAGAAAAUAAUAAAUUGGGAUAGUAAGUAUGAAGACAUUAACAUUCCUUCUCUUGUUCCCAACUAAUAAAUAUUAAUAACCCAUCACUUAUUACCUUGUAAUUUUAUUUCUGUAAAAACAGCUAAAAUAU